CCUACGGGUGGCAGCAGUGAGGAAUAUUGGUCAAUGGACGCAAGUCUGAACCAGCCAUGCCGCGUGCAGGAAGACGGCCCUAUGGGUUGUAAACUUCUUUUAUACGAGAAUAAAGUGAGAUACGCGUGUCUUUCUGUAUGUAUCUUACGAAUAAGGAUCGGCUAACUCCGUGCCAGCAGCCGCGGUAAUACGGAGGAUUCAAGCGUUAUCCGGAUUUAUUGGGUUUAAAGGGUGCGUAGGUGGGUGGUUAAGUCAGAUGUGAAAGCACGAGGCUCAACUGCGGAAUUGCCACUGAUACUGGUAGGCUAGAGAGUAGUUGAGGUAGGCGGAAUGUAUGGUGUAGCGGUGAAAUGCUUAGAGAUCAUACAGAACACCGAUUGCGAAGGCAGCUUACCAAGCUACUACUGACGUUGAGGCACGAAAGCGUGGGGAGCAAACAGGAUUAGAUACCCUUGUAGUC
rnacentral:rRNA from 1 species